rnacentral:rRNA from 1 species
GAUGAACGCUAGCGGGAGGCCUAACACAUGCAAGCCGAGCGGUAUUGUUUCUUCGGAAAUGAGAGAGCGGCGUACGGGUGCGGAACACGUGUGCAACCUACCUUUAUCUGGAGGAUAGCCUUUCGAAAGGAAGAUUAAUACUCCAUAAUAUAUUGAUUGGCAUCAGUUGAUAUUGAAAGCUCCGGCGGAUAAAGAUGGGCACGCGCAAGAUUAGCUAGUUGGUGAGGUAACGGCUCACCAAGGCGAUGAUCUUUAGGGGGCCUGAGAGGGUGAUCCUCCACACUGGUACUGAGACACGGACCAGACUCCUACGGGAGGCAGCAGUAAGGAAUAUUGGUCAAUGGGCGGAAGCCUGAACCAGCCAUGCCGCGUGCAGGAAGACGGCCUAUGGGUUGUAAACUGCUUUUGUCAGGGAAUAAACCCUCGUUUGCGAACGAGGCUGAAGGUACCUGAAGAAUAAGCAAUCGGCUAAACUCCCGUGCCAGCCAGCCCGG